AUACUCUGGUUUCUCUUCUGAUCGUAUAAAUCUUUUGCCUUUUACUAAAGAUUUCCAUGAAGAGGAAUGACUCAGUCUAAACCCAGGUUUUUUUUUUUUUUUUUUUUUGAGGUAGG